UUGAUAGCUUUAAACACAAAAAGGUGAUACUUGAAACAUGUUCACAAGGGUGAACAGCAUCUGCACAGGCCUCCUGUCUUGGCUUUUCAGAUUCAGACUGCUGAUUUUUCCAGCAGUGUCUUCACCGUCUCUAGAUCUGUCCACUCUUCGUGGCAGAGAUGGGCUGGGAGAACGACAGCAAGGAGGGAGACAGUCACUGGAGUGGGGGUUGGAACUAGAUGAUCUUCAAGGUCCCUUCCAAUCCAAACCAUUCUGUGAUUCUAUGACAUGCAUAUCUCUCCUCUCCCAGUCUCCUCGUGGGACAUGGUGUUCACCUCAGCAACUGGAGCCUCCCACUUGUAUCUCUUUUCACGUGCCCCUGCAAGGAGGGUUUUACCUCCUGCAUAUUGCAUAACUGCUUUCCAGUGCCAGCACCAAUUUUGUCUGCUCAGGUUACAGGAGGUUUGCAAGAGCCAUCUGAAAUACAGGAGCAGCAAUUAAAGGGCCCAGGGCUGCAGCUCCAGAGGGUCUACUUGGCCAGCUAAAUGUGGAGUGAUAUGUGCUGGGCUUGCAGAGGAAUUCAUGUUCUUGGAGGGCUAAAGCAAGACCAGGAAAGGUUCCUUUUAGCAGGUUUGAGGUGCAGGCUACCAAGUCAGUGGCUUGCCUGAGGCUACACUCAGAGGCAGGGUGUACACACAGCCUUCUCCCUGGCAUUCAGAAGAAUGUCCUAACUUUAGGAGCCUGCUUUUGGCUGCUACCUGGUUUCAAGGCAUUUCAUGGUACCUGUGGUUCUCUGAGACAUGCUAUGGAAUGAAGAAAUGUUGGCUUUUUUGUUUCCAGGUCUGGGUAAAGGGUCCUCCAGCUUCAAAACUGUUCUUACAAGCAAGCACAUGAUUGCUCUGAGGCUUUGGGAGCUGUGAUUCCCUCAGCCACUGCAGUUCUACCAGUAAAUGGAGACCCAAGUCCAGCGGUCCACCUUGUACUCAUUGCCAGUCAAAUGCAUAAAAAUAAAGACCUUUUCCCUGUAUUCAGUUCUAGGACAGGUCAAUUGUCAUGGGCGCUGUGGGUGAGAUUGUGGUUUGAAAGGGAAUUUUCGCUACGUAGAUCUCCAGGGACUUUCCUGGCAUUGUGCCCUCUGUAAACCUUUCUCUGCAGCCCGUGACGCUGUCAUGGAAAUGGGCAAUUGAAGCUGCCAGAGUGUUGGUGUGGAGCACGGAUAACCCCUGUCCUCUGGCUCUGCUGCUGCCCGGGGAUGGAUAGAGGCAGGUGGUGCGGGGGACAUGCCAGUAGGGAAGGGUGAAGCAGAUUUCCUGAGGGACACAUGGUGUGCCUGAGCCCAAUACUGCAUGCUUUGCCUUGGGGAGGUAGGGUACAGCCCAGAGGGUGGCAGAACAACCCCUCCCCAUGCCAGGUCCUUUGCAGGACAGGACCUGCCUGGACCACUCACUCCUUGGACCUUCAGCCGAGCCAGCAGGAGAGGGGCUGUGUUGGACUGGGUGGCAAGGGCUGGGUUUCUCUAGGGGAGGGAGAUGCCAAUGAGAUUCAUCUUCUGCCAGAGGUGGUUUGGAGGUGGUGCUGCUGGAGGCCAGUACUGUCUGUGCAGUUUGAGCUUUGAGGUCAAUACUUCACUUGGCCCCUCUGAGCAGCCUGAGCUGCUCCCAGCAGCUCAGAUGACAAUGACAUUCUUAUCACCUUCAAUUGCUGUCAUAUUUGAGCCAUUGCAUCUGUUGGUAAUUCACUGUGGGGAGAGCUGAGCUGCUUUCAAAAAUGUCUCUUCAGGGCCAGCCUGUGAGUGAUAUAAUUCCUUGGUAACCUGUCAAAGCACCAGCACAAGCAUCAGCUCAGCGCCCUGAGAGGCAGUGGUGGUGGGAUGCUGGAGAGAAAGUGAGACAGGGAGGGAAGAGACAGAGAAGGAGGUGAAUGUAAGGAUGGAGACUAUAACCCAGACCUUGCUUUCGUCUUUUCAAAAAUGCUCCCCUGCUGUAGCACUUACAGUGAGAGAGCUCAUUUAUAUUUUGUUUCUGUUCUUUCUUCAGGCUUGAUAGAAAAAAAUAAAAACCAACAAGCCAGCAGAUGCAAUGGAAAAAUGAAGUGACAACAGCAAUCCUCCCAGGUCACCCUUUUUUUCCUUUCCACUGUGCUUGCCAAGCACAACCCAUUUCAGUCUCUGCUGACAAUGCUCCGUGCUGCAGCGUGGUGUGUUCCAUCCCUCCGGGGCAUGAACUGAAAGAGAAACUCCUGGCAGCCCCCAGGAGCUGCAGAAGUGAGGAACUCAUGUAACUUCCACAAGGCUCCUGCCCUGCCACAAGAGCUGUGCAGUGUCACUGUCCCGCGGUGUGUGUGUGUGUCAGGGAGCUUUGUGAGGGCUGCAGAGGGCCCAGGAGGACGCCGUGUCCCGUGUCUGAGCAAAGGCCCGGCUACUUCCCCGAGCAGUGCGUGAGACAUGGCAGCGCGGCCUGCGAUGAGGUUGCUGACAAGCCCCAGGGGGGUUGUAGACCAGUCUGUCACUGUUAAUCAAAAAUACUUCUUUUUUUUUCCCCUCUGCCUGUGCACAGCCCCCUUUACACUGAACUGCUUGUUUUUAGGUCUGUCCCAAAGAAGGGCUCCGAAAUGGGAGCCCAAUCCAAGGCAGAGCCCCGGGCAAUACCAUGUUCAGAUGUCCGAUCCCUUGCACUUGGUUUUGAAGAGCCUAACUCUGAAUUCUCUUCAACAAAGUGCCCUUUGACCUGUGGCCUGCAGACCCUCUAUUCUGAAAGGUAAUUAAGGAGAGCAAGCCUUUUGCUGGCCACUUUAAAUUCACUGUAUGGGGACUGCAUCUUCAAAGGGAGAAAAUCAUGGGAAGAUCUAUAAUCAGAGAAGUUGAAAGCUACCAGUCCAAGAAACUGGAGGCACUUACAGGAGAGAUUGCAGUGCUGGCUGUGGUUUAUCUUUUUGUUCCCACAGGACAAGUUUUGCCUCCAUUUAGAAAGCACUGCAGGACCUGGUUACUCUCACAGUCCUCCCUUAAGCAUUGACUACGGAAUAAAUAGAGGAUGUUUUCCUUCCCUGAAUAUCUAUUUCCUUCCUAAAUAAACCAUGGUGACCUUUCACCUGACUGAAGCCGGUUGCAGUGGCUCCUCAGAGUCUCCUCCAGGCUGGAUGAAAACACAGCCCAUGCUUUCUUGCCUCCCACCACAGUCAGAGUGGGGGAGGCAGCUGAACAAACCUUUGUGCAAUUCUUUCACUGUCUGUGAUGGUGGUGAUACAGAGGGAGUGGGUAAAGCCAGAACUGGUCAGAUGCCAUCCAUGCUCUCUACUCACAGAGCUCAGCAGAGAGCAGUUCACAUGCAUCAGCACUGAGGUGCCUUCUUCAAAACAUCCAAAGGCCUGGAGCUGUGAUUCUGCAAAACUGCCCUCAUCAUCAUGAGUCACUGGACAAAGGAGCUGUUGGAUUUGGACUCUGUAACCCGGUUUGAACCCUCUGCUGAUAUGAACCCUGGGAUCUCUUCUGCUCUCACUCUUAACCUCUUACACCACUGAGCUUCCAGGAAGGCUUGGACUGAGACCCAAACACCCAUUCUGUGUGGGCACGUUCAGAGACAGGUUUUUGCAAGCCGGUCUUUGCUUCACCCGUGGACAAUUUUAAUUUGGAUGGUUUUCCUCCAGCCCCAUCUGUUGUUGUGGCCUCACAUAUACGGUUCAUGGCUUGUUCUUGCCUCCUACUCCUUGGCCUGCCAAAGUCCCAUCCCUGUUGCAAUUACCACAGCCCUGAAGCAGCCAGGUGAGAGGCUGCUCAAGCUAUCCACCUGCUGACCAAGGGCGAGGAACAGGGAUUAAGGAGCUACACGGCCGUGGGCAGCAGGACCUGGUGCAGCAGAGCUCCUUUAGCCCCAGCAGUGAUGGAGAGGGCUGCCAACGUUAUUGUUGUGUUGGCAUGGCAAAGGUGGGAGGAAGGAGGCAGAGGAUGGGGGGGAAGGGAUUUGAAACUUCAACUGCCCCUUUGUGUUUUCACCUCCUCCAGUUUAUCUGGUGCCCUGUGGAAUUUAUGAUCCUCCCCCCUGCAAGGAGCUGUUGUCUUUCAAGUCACAGAGUGCCUUCCAGCCGGGUGAUAGACCAGCUAGCCUGCUCUUUAACAACCUCUAAGAGUGUAAUGAGCAAAGCCAAACUUUCUCCCAGCAACAGUUUUAGGAAGACUGAUUAUCUCCCUUUUACGAGUGGGAAAACAGUGUCAAUCCAUUCCAAAUCCCCGUGGUGGUGGAGCAGAGCAAUGGAUACAGCCCCUGAUUUAUAUGCUAUUCCAAGGCUGCUAACAAUCUCUUUUCCUUUCUCCCUCUCCAUGUUCAGCUGCACAUUUGCCCGAUUUAGGGAGAAUAAGGAGACUGACCCUUGUCAUUUGAAGAGGCAGAGAGCAGGUAAAGCAGAGGAGAACAGGAGCAAAUACAAAAGUCAGACAGAAAACUCCCAUCUCAGCAGUAGGAAUUGCCAUCCAGGUCCUGCUUUCCAGGCACCCCAGAUGAGGGACUUUAGGACUCUCAGCCUUAUCUGUUUCUUCCCUCAUUGCUUUGGUGUGUUGUGAAGGGGCCAGGAGGCACAUUUUGAGAGCAUGCAGCCCAUGUGAUGGGCAGUUGGAGAACCACAGCUCCCAGAGCAGCUCUGCCAGUGAUGGAUUAUACAAACAGAGCAGCAUGAGGAGCAGCCCCUCACUCCAUCCCCCUGUGUCAGGUCACUGUUCAGGGUCCACCCAUCCUUUCCUCUCCUCCAGCAAGUUCACUGUGGGAUGGGCCCCAGGUCAGCCCUGGCAGCAGACGCCUUCUGAGCACCUGUGGCUUUUUCUGAUUAAGGGACACAGAGCUAAGAGGCACUGGGAAUUCGAGAUAAGCUCCAGCACUGGGAGCACUUCUGACAGCCCCAUAGCACAGCUGGAGAGACAGAGCAGUGGAGAGAUGUGGAUUUCACAAGCCCUGUGCAAGGCCUGAGGCACAUCCAGCUCUGGAGGAUCCCUGAGCACCUGGGGAUGUGGCAGGCUGGCCAGAAGCCCUCUGAGGAAGGUGUUGAUGCAGACACCUGCACACUGAGUGAAGUACCCAGUGCCCAGCUCCUGAAGCAGGUGCACAGUGGCAAGGUAUCACAUGUUUCUGCUGGCUCCAUGCCCUUUGGCAGCUCAGCCAGGGGUGGAAGGACACAGAGCUCAGACAAGCAGGAUGCCUUGCAGAUAUUACUUUCUCCAAACAUCACCAGCCCAGUCUGGUGCUUUCUCUGCACACCUCGGGGGGCUUUUACCUCUGUGGUACAAAAUGCAGCUGCACCAGUGCUGCUGUGUGCAGCCUGAGAGCCCUUUGCUUC